rnacentral:tRNA from 1 species
AGUUCUUAUAGUUUAAUUAAAAUGUAAUAUUGAAAAUAUUGAGAUAUUGAUUUAAGAU